rnacentral:lncRNA from 1 species
UUAGUUAAGAAAAUUAAAUUAAGGAGAGAUCCGAACCAGUACAGACACAAUGACUGAUUAUAUACAAAAAAAAAUUGAGAUUAAGAGAGAUCCGAAUCAGAACUGAGACAAUGACUGAUUAUAUAGCGUAAAAUAACAGUGACUAGGAAUUAACAACAACUUUUAAUCACACAAAAAAAAAAGGAAAAAAGAAAAAGACAAUGGUAACAGCAGUAGCGAAUGCGUCAGUCGCUUCAGCUGGCACUGGUCUGAGAAUAACAUAAAAUUGCUCAAAUAACUAACACAGCUAGUAAACUACUAGAAUAGAAUAAACAACUCAGAAACUUAUCUCCCGUGGGAGAUUAGACGAUGAAUAUUCAUUGCCACUCUUUUGGUUACACUUUGUCACUAGAUGUGAAAAAGCUUAAUUACGAAGGCAAAAUAACCUCGAGACUCGGCGCCACAGCCGUGAGGAAGGGUUCCCUUGCACCGGAUUUGAUCCGCCGGGUUGACUUGGCCCAUUAGCGCUAGCAGGAGCCGCUUGAAUAUUGUUUUGCUGAUUUUGUGAUUGGUAGUACUCUGGGGGGUAUGUAUACUUUUUCUCCAUCCACUCUGACUUUAGUAGACAGACCACACCUGCAAGAGGAACCUCAUCAUAUCUUUUCUCUUCUCCCAUAUGUUUUUGGGAUUUUGCCGUGGCUUUUUCCAGCAGUUCUUCAUCAGACUGGUUUGGCUCAUAAACAACUGCAUCAGGACUUGUUAUCCUGGGCUCUUCACUGGACUGGCUAGUGUGGGUCCGUUUGCGCUUGCGCUUGCGCUUUGAUUCUGAUUGUUGUGGCCGGCUUAAUCGGGUUACUCUGCUUACGCCAACAAAUAAAUGUUUCAAAAGACUUAUAAUUAAUUAUUAUUAAUGAUUACAUAUUAUUGAAUUUAAAUAGAAAGAAAAAAAAAGUACAAAGAAUAUCCACCAAUAUUUUAGAUAUUUUAUAUAAUAGAAAAUAUAAAAAGAUGAGGAAUGAUAUAUAUUAAUAAAGUUAUUAUUUAUUAAAUGAGUUAAAUACAAUCAAAUUAAUUAUGAGAAGAUGAAAAGACAAAUAUAAAAAAAAAAUCUCUAUGUAUUAGAUGAUAGAGAAUAUACAAAGAAGCAAAAUGGUGAUGCCAAAUCACCUCCUCAAGUCCUAACUUUAUAUAUAUAUAUAUAGAUAGAUUAGGAAAUAGAACCGCACGUCGUGCGGCUUUAAAAAAAAUUAGUAUUAUUUUUUUAUUACUUUGUAAUUGAUGAAAUUGAUAAAAAAAUAUGAAUUAUUUUUUUUAAAGAUGAUGCAGUCUUAUAAAACUAAUGUUAUUUAUGAAAGUUAAUUAUUUUUUGUUAACAUUAAAAAUAUAUAUUAAUGUGUAUAGUUAAGUGUAUACAAUUUUUUCAUCAAUAAAAAUUAUGUUCACACUAAUCAACUCUCCAUUUUUCUUGGUAUUAACAGACUCUCACAUCUUACAAAUCCUAACCUUUAUCAUCCAACUAUCUUUAUCAUUGUUUAACUCAUAAAGAAAAUAGUACUCCAUGAAACAUACAAUACUAAAAAUUUAAAUAAGUCAAAAAAUAAAAACACAAGAAUAUUUCUAAAGAGGAUGUUGGUUAAAUAAUAAAAAAACUCAAACAUAAUAAAUCUUAAAUGGUUAACAUUAUAGAACUUGAAGAAGCCAAAAGAUACUAAAUAAAAGGUUGCAUAAUUAAAUAUGGGAUUAUGACAUUAAAAUUGGGUCAUAGGGUAUUGGUGAGGGAAGAUGAAGGAACAUUCAUUCCUAUAUUAAUUAGUUGAUGUAUUUUAAACCACUAAAGUUUCGUUGUUGGCUUAAUAAAAUAAAUGAAUGUUUCAAAACUUAUAAUUAAUUUCUUAUUAAUGGUUAUAUAUUGUUGAAUUUAAAUAGAAAUAGGAAGAGACAUGUAAUCUUUUGUAAUCUAUUAAUUAUUUUAUAUUUUAAUAUUUUGUAAUGUAAUUAUUUUUUAAUCACAACCAAUAUAUUAGAUAAUAGAGAAUAAAAAAAGAUAAGAAAUAAUGAUGCCACAAAUCUUAAAUAUUUAAUGUUUAUGGAGUUUGAAAAAAAUCAAAAAGCACUAACCAAAAGAUUGAAUAAUUAAAUAUGAGAUUAUGACAUUAAAAUUAGGCUCUAAUGGCAUUGUUGAGGGAAGAUAAAGGAACCUUCCUUCUUAUAUUAAUUAAUUGAUGUAUUUUAAGCCACUAAAAUUUAAUUGUUGGCAUAAUAAAAUAAAUGAAUGUUUCAAGACUUAUAAUUAAUUAUUAUUAAUGGUUACAUAUUAUUGAAUUUAAAUAGAAAGAGAAAAAAACAUGUAAUCAUUUAUAAUCUAAUAAUUAUUUUCUAUUUUAAUAUUUUGUAAUGUAAUUAUUUUUUAAUUUCAAUCAGUUUAUUAAAUAAUAGACAAUAUGAAAUGAUGAGAAAUGGUGAUGCCAUAUCACCUCUUGUAGUCCCAACUUUAUAUAGAUGUAUAGAUAGAUAGAUAGAUAGAUUAAUUCAUGUAUUUUAUGCCACUAAAGUUUAAUUGCUAGCAUAAUAAAAUAAAUAAAUGUUUUAAAAGACUUAUAAUUAAUUAUUAUUAAUGAUUACAUAUUGUUGAAUUUAAAUAGAAAGAGAAAAAAAGUACAAAGAAUAUCCACCAAUAUUUUAGAUAUUUUAUAUAAUAGAAAAUAUAAAAAGAUGAGGAAUGAUAUAUAUUAAUAAAGUUACUAUUUAUUAAAUGAGUUAAAUACAAUCAAAUUAAUUAUGAGAAGAUGAAAAGGUAAAUCUAAAAAAAAAAUCUCUAUUUAUUAGAUAAUAGAGAAUAUACAAAGAAACAAAAUAGUGAUACCACAUCACCUCCUCAAGUCCUAACUUUUUAUAUAGAUAUGAAAAAUAUCUCUUCCGCGGAGGGGGAGGAUUCAUUGGAUUUGAUACGGGCUGACUUGGCCCAUUAGCAUUAGCAUUUGCUGCAUUGUAGGGUUCUAACUUUUUUGAUAGAUGUGAAAAAACUCUCUUCCGCAGUGGGCCGGUAUCCGGGCUGACUUGGCCCAUUAGCAUUGGCUGCAGCCGUUUGCUGAUUGGGAGCCUUGGUGGGUUCCAUCUUUUCGAAUAGAGGUGAAUAAACUUUCUUCGGCCUAGGGGGAGGGCUCCCCGGAUUUGAUCUGGGCUGACUUGGCCCAUUAUAUUAGCUGCAGUAUAGGGCUCACCGGAUUUGCUCAUGGAGUAUUGGGAUUAUAAAUGUGCCUCAACUUGGCCUUCCACUUAUUACGACGCCCAAUGCAAUGCAAACUUUAUUGAUAACUGAUUAGGAGAUGAUCUUCAUUACCCCGUUUUCGAACUUUAUAUCAAACAAGGAACCAUCCUUAAGGACGUCAACCUUCUGGAGCUCGUAACGAAGCGGGAACUAUAAACGAACAAAGUUCUGAAUUAAAAUUGUUUAUUGAUCAAGAGUUGUAGACAUUCUGAGGUUUCGCUCCUUUAAUACAUGGAAUGCAAAAUUACCAAAAGGGGCAAAACUAAACAUAAAAUAAAGUUCUCAUGUCUGAAAUAAUUGAAAAAAAAAAUGCGUGCAAUUAGAGAUAAUUUCCUAUCGAUCCGGAGGGCAAUAAGCUUUGAAAAGAAGUUAGCUCCGUCUUUCCAUAUGCUUCAAUAUUGUAUGUUAUAUGCACAAAAUGGAUACCUGUAGCUCAAAUAACAAUCUGGGAAGAUAAAGGUCAUGUUCUACGUCAACCCGAUUCCAGCAUCUUUGAUCUCUAUCGCAGAACAAACGAAGCUGCAGUCACUAUUCUUUAUACCACAUAUUAUUCUUAUACGCUUCAAUUCCUGCAGGGGAAGUGUUGAGACUGAUUUGGUGUAUAAGUACUAAACCAAUCGCCCUAAGACCUAAUCCUAGUUAAAGACUAAUUAAUGAACUUAAGAAUGAAAGUUUAAUCACACUUAAGGGAAAAUAAGGAUUAAGCCUUGUUGUCUGGAGAAACUAAGCAAAAUCCCCUUCAUGUUUUAAAAUAUAUGUAAACCACUCAUGUUAGUUAAAACGGUGUCAACUUUAUUUAUUAUUUUAUUAUCUUAUCCCUAGUCUUGAUGUUUAUCAUAAAAUUUGAAUGUUUUGAGAAUAUGAAUCAAGUAAAAUAACUUAUAUACCCUUAACGAAUAAAUUAAUUUAAUAACGAAUUGUAAGUUAUGGAGAAAUAUCAACUGAUUUGUAAAUGUAAGUUCUUUUUAUUUUUUUAUUUUUUAUAAUCAUUUAUAGUAUUAAAAUAUGAACUUUCCUAUUAAAAACUUAUUUGUGCCUGUUAUGUUUUUGAUAUAUCGGUUUUUGGGUAUUAAAAAUUUGAGCUUUUUAUUUGUUCUUUCUUUCUUUUUUUAAUUAUAAUAUCUGUGAAAGGUUGCUAAAUGAGGUCUGAUUUUGUUGGUAUAAUGAUUUGCAACAAAGAAAAUUAAAUUUAAAACUUCUCUUUAAAUUUAUUUUCUUUGAGGUAUUCUUGAAAUAAUGAUAGUAUUGUCUAUUAUUAUUGAGCUCAGAUGCCUAACGUCGAUGUUUUUGAUAAUUUUGAUGGGAAGAAAUUUGAUUUAGGGGCAUGAUAUGUUGAUUGUUUGAGUUAGGUUGCUAAUAUUUCUCCAUAAUUUUCAAUUCAUUGUUAGAUUAAUUUAAUUAUUAAGGGAAUAUAACAUCAAGACUAAAGUUAAAAUAGUAAAAUAGUACAUAAAGUUAAUAUCAUAUAACCACAGACCUAUUUUAAAAUAUGAGGAGAUUUCACUUAGUUUCCCCAAACAUAAUCUUCAUUUUUCUCACUUGUACAUGUCAACUAGACUUCAUAUUUUGUAUAAUAACUUUUGAUGAUACUUCGUUGAAGUUACUUGUAAGUAACUUUUGCUCAGUAGUGAAGUACUCUUGAUUUUCUAAUCUGCAGAUUGAUUACGCUCCUCUUUAUUUUUGAUGACGCACAAUAUUAACUAAUGAUACAAGAACCUCAUCUUCAAGUCUUUAAAGUAAAGCUUGGAGCUCCAAUAGAUUAAUCAUAAAUUCUUUUAAAACAAUUCUUAAUUUUUAUAGUACCCAUUUAUUAUAUAAAUUAAUAAUUAUCUAAUUUGAAAUUAAAUACCUAUGAUAUAAUUAUGUGAUUUUUGUAAAAGAUGUGCUCAGUUCGCUUAAAUCCCCAGUGAACCUUUUACGCCCAAACACGACAAUUUAUGUGAAUUAAGAAUUAUUCUGAGCUAGCAAGCAACUCAAGUUAUGUAUGAUACAAUAAUCAUGGCUACCACUACUCUUAAAUUGACAUUUCUAUCACUAUUACCACCACAAGUCUGCCUCCCUGUUGAAACAGAACUUGUUAUUUAUCAACUUCAACAGUUUAAAAUAAGCAGAAGAAGGUAGAAGCAGAAGAACCAGCAGGGAAAAAAGGAGAUGAAUAUACCUGUGCCUCAAGUUGGGCCAGAUAUUCAUUACCCACCUUUUUCAAUAGAGGGGAAACAAACCUCUCGGCUCAGGGCCUCCGUCCAGAGGGAGGGUUCCCUUGUGCUGGAUUGGAGCCGGGCUGACUUGGCCCAUUAGCAUUAGCUUUAUAGCUGCAGUCGUUUGGCUAUUGUUUUGCUGAUUUGGUGAGUGCGACUCUUGGUAGGGUUCCAGGUUUUUCAAAAGAUAUGAAAAAUAUCUCUUCCGCCGAGGGGGAGGAUUCAUUGGAUUUGAUCCUGGCUGACUUGGCCCAUUAGCAUUAGCAUUUGCUGCAUUGUAGGGUUCUAUCUUUUUUGAUAGAUGUGAAAAAACUCUCUUCCGCAGUGGGCCGGUAUCGGGGCUGACUUGGCCCAUUAGCAUUGGCAGCAGCCGUUUGCUGAUUUUGUGAUUGGGAGCCUUGGUGGGUUCCAUCUUUUCAAAUAGAGGUGAGUAAACUUUCUUCCGCCUAGGGGGAGGGCUCACCGGAUUUGAUCUGGGCUGACUUGGCCCAUUAUAUUAGCUGCAGUAUAGGGUUUCAUCUUUUUCCAAUAGAUAUGAAAAAACUCUCUUCCGCCAAGACGGGUUCACUAGAUCUGAUUCGGGCUGACUUGACCCAUUAGCAUUAACUGCAGUGUAGGGUUCCAUCUUUUCGAAUAAAUGUGAAAAAACUCGCUUCGCCGACAGGGUUCACUGGGUUGGAUCCGGGCUGAGUUGGCCCGUCAUCAUGAGCAUUAGCAGCAGCCGUUUGCUAAUUUUGUGAUUGGGACUCUUGGUAGGGUUCCAUCCUCUGUGAAUUUUUUUCAAGGGGCCAAGCUGUACGAUGUUUAGACAUGGGCGUACAAGUUUCAGAAACUUUUUCUUCAGUUUCAUCAAAUGGUAGUGCAGGAACAAGAUUGUAAUGUAUGUGUUAACUAGACUUCAUGUUUUGUACCAUGUACAUGGCUAAUAAAUUAAACAAGGCCCUUUCAUCAAGCUUAUAAAGGGAGUAAGCCGAAACUAAUACUUUGAUGGUGCGUCGUUGCAGUUGCUUGUUUGAAUGCAACUUUUGCUUGCAAGUCAUUUAUUCUUGAUUUUCUGAUCUGCAGAUUGAUUCUUCUUUUUGAUGAAACAUAAUGUUAACUAAUUAUAGAAGAAUUUCAUCUUAUUGAAAUUGUUAGACUUGACAUUAGAGACAUAAGUAACGCGUCCAAACUAUCCGCGAUGUGAUCACCAUUGCCAUGAGUAAUAUUCACAUAUUAUUUAACCUGCAUCUUCUAUUUAGUAAUGCACGCAUUUGACAUUGCACGCUAACAAAAUUUAACUCAGUACCUUGUUCUAGUGUCGAAUAAGUCGUAUUAUAUUUGACAAACCAAAUAAGCAACGACUGUAAAUAAAGUUUAUACAAAUUUGAGAAGAAGAAUGGAAAAUCACAUUUAACCAUCUUGACUCAUGUCUGCAAUACCAAAGUCACUACUGAUAAUAAGAAAGAACUGAAAAGAGAGUUUGCACAAAGGUUAGUAGAAGCAGGAGAACAGCAGCCAGAAAGGAGAUGAUUGCCCAUGGAUUGUUGAAAUAAUUGUGCCUCAACUUGGCCAUCCACUUAUUACGACGCCUACUGCAAUGCAAAACCACUUUGUUGACAACCUCCUGGUAAUAGAACCGCUCACCGAGUACAACACCCUCACAAAGCUUGUUCAGUAAGGUUACAAUCACUUCAUCAUCUCCUAACAAAUUAUUAAUUAUUCCACAACGACGGAGAAGCUCAGCAUCCUUUGAAGUUUUGAUAAGGCAGUUCAGGAAUUUGACAUAAUCUAUUACAUGCUUCAGAUUUAUGUCUUGGGAACACUGCUCAUAUGCAAUGAGAUUCCGAAAAAUAGUUUCUGUAGCAUCACUAAUUUCCAAGGAUGGCAUCUUCAUUACCCCAUUUUCGAACUUAAUAUCGAACAAGGAAUCAUCAUCCUUAUCAACCUCAACCUUCCGGAAUUCGAUUCCAGCCUCUUGAAUCUCUGUGGCAGAACAAAUGAAGUUGCAGUGACUAUUAUUGGUGCCAUUAUGAAGCUCAUAUGCUACUACUCCUGCAGGUGAAGGAAGCCAGUUACCGUGGAUCAAAUGGACUAGAUGUUUGAUUUCAUUUAUGCGAUAAUUAUUAACUCGGUAAACAUCAUCUCUUCGACAUCCUUUUCCUGGUAAUAUCCCGUUGAAAAAACGCAGAAUUGUGACAAGAAAGCUUUUGUCACUAGCACUGUUAGGCAACUCAGUCAUGCUAAACAACUUCCAAAUAACAAAAAAUGGAAGUUGAUUCUCAAGUAAAAUCAUAUCUUGAGCUAUGGAAGGUAACAUCCAACUCAGUUCAAAAAUAGGGUCAUUACCUUGUCCCAAAGCAGGGUCAUUAUGUCUUCUCCCCUCCAUUUCCAACCUAAACUUGCGAAAAACCUCAACAAUGAAAAAACCAUCAAGAAUCAUCAUUUUCACAAACUCAUCUUGGUUUAAACUUAUGGACCCUCCAUAACAAUUUUUAGCUGUCUCUUCCAGUUCCCUCAUGACUGCGAAAUAGCAUGACAAAGGUAUAUCCAAUCUUCGCUCUAGAAGCCUUUGAAGAUAGCUCAUUUUGUACUUUUCAAAGUCCAAUAAUUGAUCUUUACCGUGAUGGUAAGGACCAAUUGAUAGCAAUCUUGGUGCAUAAGCCUUUUCAUUUACAUUACGCAAUACCUGAGGCACUGUGAAAAUGCUAAACUGAGAUGGUGUACUGGUUAGACAACGAAGCUCUUCCUCAAGAUCAAGUACUAUUGCAGUCGGAUCACUUGCCAUGGUCUGCAUUUAAGUGGAUAUAAAGACAUAAAUGUUGAUUACUAUAAAACUUAACUAAAUUAAUUAUGGAUAAUUACAGAAGUUACCAGUACUUCAACUUUACAUAAAAAUUAUCAUUAAUGCCAUUAAGUCUGCUUUUUAUAAAUUUUGGAAAAAAAAAAAACAAUAGUCAUUGAUAAUAGUUUCAACUUCUAAUUAGAGUUAUAGUGACAGUACUUGUAUAACAAGGGAAGUGAGACAAAUCAACAACGAGUGAAAGCAAAUCAUCAGUUAUAGCACACUAAUUGACUGACCAUAAUCAUAAACAAAACCAAAUUUUAUAUUCGUUUCAAUUUCAAUUCUUUUAUAUUCUUAGUAAUAUUUGAUACAGAACUGAGCCAGCUCACGGAUCUUGGAUCUCACGGGCGCGGCCAAAGAAGCUAAGCAAAAUUCUUGGGGUACACAAUACAAUUCACUAUAAAUCAAUUCAAAGGUAAAAAAUGCAUUAUAUUAAAACAAGUUAUUUAUGAUCACUUACAGAUGACUUUCCGGUUGCGAGACAAGAUACCAAUCUUCCCAGUGCAAUGAUUUUCCUUCGUUUUCUUUUUGACGAUCCUUCGUUUUCUUUUUGACGAAAGUCAAAUGUUUGGUUUGGUUUGCAGGUGCAAAAUGGCUCCUGUACCACAACCUUUUUUUGGUGCCAGCAACGUGGGUUGAAAUUAAACCUACAGGCUUUUUGGUCCUUCGAGUCGAUGGUUGUUGGAUUCCUGGAAAUUUCCUCCCAAAACCCAACUCUUUUCCGAUCAUUGGAGGGGAUGGCAGUUCUACCAUUAUUCCUUUGAUUAUUUGCGGCCAAUUUUUUUAGGGGUCCAGCUACGUUGCUCCUUUUUGUCUUUUCUGAGUUAUUAAAUUAAAAAUCUCUAUUUUAUUAUAAAAUAAAAAAAUAAUGAGAUAUUCCUAAAUUUUGACUCAUUAAUUCUACUUAUUUUAAUUUUUUAAACUUAAAUAAAUGGGUAGGGUAAUUUUUUUAAUAAUUAAUUCACAUACCAAUCAUCAAAGUUUUUGAAAAAAAAUUACUCUUACACCUACCUAAAUGUCAAAUAUAUCUUUGAUAAAACUAAUUUUGUUUGUACUAAAUAAAUUAAUUAAAAUAAUAUAUAAAAAAAUUGAAUAACUUAUUUACAUGCCUACUAGUUUCAAGCCCUCAUAUCUAGUAAUUAACAAUUGGAUCCUAUCACUGACUCAAAGUCAUCAAACAUGAGAUGUUGAGUCUUGAGAAUUCCUAAAUAAGUAAGGAGAAUAAAACAACUUUGACUCUAAAUCCUUAUUAAAAAAACUUCUAAACUUGUUCAUCGGGCCCCUAGAUACAAGAAUAAAUAAAAACCCAUUUCUUUCCCUCACUUUUUGAUACUUUCUUAUUAAACAAUUUAAAAACCCAUUAUUAUUAGUAAAUUAAUAUAUUCUUAUUACAUAUUGAACUUAUUGACUGUAUAAUGAAUAAGUCUUAUGAAAAAAAAAAGUUAACCACAAAUUAAUAACAAUAGAUUAAAUUCAUAUUAACAUUUAUCAUAAAAAUAUGAUUUGCAAUUAAUACAUGUUUUACUUUAUAUUAAAUUAACUAAUUAAUAAAAAAGAGUAUUAAUUUGAAUACACUAAUUCAAAUAUAAGAAUAAGUCAUUUUAUUGGUGAAAAUAACUAAAUGUAAAAAAAUUAAAAUAUUAUGGACUUAUGUGUCAAAAUUUUAAAUUUUUUCACCGUGUUAAUUUUGUAGCAAAUAGUAGGGACUAUAUUGUUAAUAACCCAACAGAAGCUUUUAACUAUUAAAACUACUUCUGGAUUAGCUCGUGGAUUCAGAAAAGACAAAAAAUGAGGUGUAAAACCACAGCAAUAACAUAGCUGGACUUUUUUUUAAUUGUUAGAAACAUUAGAGAAAGUUUGGAUAAGAUAAUCUUUUAUAAAUUAAAAUAUAAGAUUUCGUUAUAAAAUAUGUUUAAUCUUAAAAUUUUAAUAUUCCAUGGAGCAUCGAGCAAAGUGUAAUUUGAAUAAACGGGGUUUAAGGUAUCAAGAUUUUUUUGUAGAAAAGAGACUUAUAACUAUGUAUGAAAUAAAAGUUGAUAUUGAUGGGAUUAUCUUUUAUUUAAAGCAUAUUUAUUUAUUUGCAAUAAAUACAUUUUCUAAUUAAUAAAAUGUUUGAGAUAUUUUUCAUAUAUCUUAAUUACAUAAGUAUUUGGAAUAAACUCUGUUUAAUCAUAUUAUAUGUAUUUAUGUGAUCAUCAUAUGGAUUCAUAGAAGACAUAUUAUAAAUUAUUUUGUGAUUAAAUAAAUUAAGUUUACUAUUGAUAAAUAGAGUUAAGUGCUCUAUUUAUGUUUUGAAUAAUUUGUCUUGAACAUAUAUAAAUUUACUGAUGUAAUUUGACUACAUUGAACUAAAUUGCAUAUGAAAUUUAAUUACCUUUGAAGUGAUUGACAAACUUAUUAAAAUCUCAUAGGCAUUAAUUUUAUUGAAAUAUCAAGUUUGAUUUAAUUAUAGUUUUAUAUUUAUGAUUGUUAUUUCAUUUGAGUUAUCAAUGGGUUCAACAUACAUUUGUAGUCCAGAUUACCCGAUAUUUUAGUGGGAGCGAUUAUCAAUAGUGAGAUGAUAUAUUAACAAUAUAUAAUUUGUACAACACAUUUCUUAAUGGAUUUUCGGUACUUAAUCAUAGAAUUUUCUAGCCACAGUGUGUUAACAUAUUUAGUAUGUUGAAAAUGAUGAUUAGAAAAAGUCAGUAAGUGUCAAGAAACGAAAUGUAAUUAAAUUGAUUAAACAGUUGAAAUAUCAAUUUAAUUAAUGAUGUGCUAAAAAUAGUUGUUUAAUACAGAAAUCAAUACGGCAUGUGUCAAAUUAUUAUUCGAAAAUACUAUCCUAGAUAACAUGUAAUUAUAGAGGUCAGUUCUAAUCUUUUAGUGAACUAGAUUUAUAAUUAAAUCAUCAAACUAGAUUAAUUGUAAGAUUAACUAUUGUAGACACUGUUGUAUAUACCUAAAUGAUUCCGGAGCUAACUCACUUAAUUAAUUGCACAACUAUGGGACUGAUAAGUAAUAUAACUAGAUAUUUGUGUCAAAAAAUCAAAAUAUAUUAUGUAGUAAGAGGCUUCAUUUAAUAUGCCCGUGUAUAAGCCUAUAAGGGUCUUUUGUUAUUUUACAAGAUGGGCCUUAUAACAAGAACAAGUGAUGCGACUUUAUCUUAUCUUUUAAUUUACAUUGAAUAUUUUUUAUUUAAUAAAAUUUAUAAAAAAAAAACAAAGAGCUUUUGGUUUCCACCAAAACGUAAUAAAAAUGCUUGUUUUUCUAGAAAAGAACAAAUGAGCCACAAUAUAUAAAUAGAGAAAUUUUUUUUCUAAUUUUGAGGAAAAACAUUUUUGAUUGCUAGUUGUUCUUGAUAGUGAUAAAGAUGCUCAUACGUUAAGUGUAGAUCAAACUUGAAUCUUAACCUAAAAGAUCGUUGGUCAUGGAUCUUAAUCUAACAAUAUUAGCAGUGAUGGAUCAUGACUUAAAAGUAAAAAUUAUUACUAUGAAAAAGCAAAGUUACGAUUUCUAAAUUAUAGUAAGCCUAUAUGUUAUAUGAGAGUCUCAGUCUAAAUAUUUUCACUGUAAAACUAUUUUUAAUCAACAAAUAUUGUAUGGUUAAAUAUAAUUUUUAAAUAAUAAUUUUCAUAAAAUUAACAAAAUAUUAUAUAUUUUUUAUAUUACAAGGGUCAAAUCAAAUUAAUUUAUUUUUUAAAGUAUAAUACUAAGUGUUUACCAAGUACGAGCUACAAAUACCUAAUCUCAAUAUCAAAGUGAUCUUAAUUGGAAGUAAAGUGCGGAUUGCUACGGGCGUUUACUAUUUUUGAAAGAUUAACUCUUAUCUAAUUGUUGACAUGACACGUGUCUCAUGACUAAAUUUUUUUAACCUUUAUUCACUUUGUCAAUAAGCGUUUUCUCUUUUGGCUUUGAAUGUGUCAUUUGAAUUUAAAGAUUACUCAACUAUUUCAAAAUAGUCAUAUGGUGCAUUCCAUCCGAAUGGACUGAAAUCGAAAUGGGUUAGAAUGAGAAUAAAAAAUAAAUUAUUUACUUGAGUUGUAGGAAUCGGAAUCGGAAUAAGAUUCAUUUCCAUUGAUGUGUUUACUUUAUUUUAAAAUCAGAAUGAACUAUCAUAAUUUACUAAAAUACCCUUUGUUAAUUAUUGUCAAUUAGUGGCAGUAACAACAACAACAACAAUAAUAAUGACAUUAACAAACAAUAAUAAUAAUAUUAUUUAUUAAAAUAUUAUAAUAAAAUUUAUAAUAAUAAUUAUUUAUUAAAAUAUUUUUAUAGUUAUAAUUUAUUAUUCAUCAUCAUCAUCAUUAUUAUUAAUUUUAUUAAUUUUUAUUUUUAUUAUUAUUUAAAUCAAGGAUAAUAUGAGUUUUAGAAAAUUUAGUCGAGCUGAAAAGUGAAAUACUAACUAGGCAACCCAAGAGGGGGGUGAAUUGAGAUUUUAAAAAAUUAUCCUAGGCAAACCACAUAACAAUUUAAUCUAAUGCCUUAAUAAAUUCGAAAACAAUAAAUUCAAUAAAAGCACAAUAAUAAAUGAGUAAGGGAAGAGAAAGCAAACUCAAGGAUUUUUACGUGGUUCGGCAAUCCCCGCCUACGUCCACGCCUCCAAGCACACCGGGCUUGAGGAUUUCACUAAGCUAGCCUCCCAAGGCUUCAAACGCUUACAAUUGACUUCCAAGGUGUCAAUAGACCUUUACAACAAGAGAUUAUCCCCAAUCUCUUAACCCAAGUGUAUCCCAACACUUACAAUCUUUUAACUUGAUUUUACAAAAAAAGAUUACAAAUGAAUCUCUCUCACACAAUGUGUUUGAUCACAAGUGAAAGCUCAAUGUGUGAAUGAAUGAGAUGAAUACAAAGAUUUAAAGCUCAAUGAAAGUUGUAUUCUCAAUAUUUUGCUCAAUGAUGAUCGUUGGAAUUCUCUUUGUUUGAAUUGGAUUGAGCUUAUUUAUAGUUGGAGCUGAAAAACUAGUCGUUAUAGACUGUCUGCUCGAAAACGGUUCGCCGUUAACCAUUAACGGUUAACCGUUUAGGCCGGUCAAAGUUACCGUUGGGCCAAUUUUCAAAUAAACGGUUAGCCGUUUAGGCUUACCCUUUCGCCGUUAAUUUCCAGAGACCUGCAAAACAAAUUUGGUUUAACCGUUCUUACUAAACGGUUCAAGGUUAGCAAUCUGGAAAUAAUCGGUUAACCGUUUUCAGUAAACGGUUCACCGUUAGUUUCCAGAAUCAUCAUUUUAACAAUACUUUGCAGAACAUGCUUUCUAGAAAUUAUCGGUUAGCCGUUUUUAAAUAAACGGUUAGCCGUUUGCUACAGUGAAAUUAUUUUCCAAAUUUACAGUUUGACCCCAAAACUUUAUAAAACUGUAUUACGGCCCAAAACGUUAUGAAACAUUGCACAUAGGUCCAAUUUUAGAAUUUCUAAGUAAUGCUUUGUUAAUCCCAAAACUUUCUGAAAUUAUGGUAUAGCCCAAAAUGCUAUGACACUUUUCAAAUAAGUCAUUCUCUAAAAUUUCAAGCAAUACUUGUUUAUUUCAAAGUUUUCAAAAUUCUUUCAAUUAAACCAUAAACUUUGAAAAACAACCAAUUUCAUAAAAUCAUUUUUCCAUUAAAUAUAAAACCUUUAUAAUGUAAAAAUAAUGAUUUAUUUAAAAAGAAUAUUAAAUAAUUUGGGCUUAAAAGAUUAAUCAUUCUUAAUCUUGUUUGUUAUCAUCAAAAUCAACAUUAUGAAAACAUAUAUGUUAACAAUCUCCCCCUUUUUGAUGAUGACAAACGUUUCAUGUAUUUAAAAAAAGAUUGCACAAAUUGCUCCCCCUAAAUGUAAGAUUCUCUUACAAUUUAGCUAAAUUAACAAAUUUAAAUACAUGCAUUCUUCUCCCCGUCAUCAUCAAAAAGAAAACUUAGUGGAAAAGAAAAAGAGUAGCAAAUUUGUUACCCAUGUAGCCGAGUAGAAAUUUUGACACAUUCUCCCCCUAUCAACAAGCAUUACCUCAAAUACAAGUUUAGUAAUAUUACUCCCAAAAUAUUAUAAAUCAUGAUACAUGCCAACUCCAUACACAAAUCAUCACACAAAAAUAUCAUGAACCAUUAUUCCAUCAAUUACUAAGUCAACAACUCAUAACAUAAAUUUAUCAUAUAAAACACCCAUGUAAUCAAAUCAUCAUCAUAUCUCAAAAUCAUAUUAUAUGCUCCCCCUAAAUAUAUGGCCAAUUUAAAAUUUUAACCGAAAUGAUUUUAUCCAAAAACAUAUCAUAUUUAUCUCUCCUUAAAGAUGAGCAAAUUCUCAAAUACACAACGUGAUUAAAAACACUUCCAUAUAAGCUUAAAAAUGUAUAACAAACCAACAACUCCACCAAGUCAGUUCACACAUAAAUAAUCAUCCAACAACAGAAGCAUCACAUAGAAAAAUCCAUCAUCAAAAUCAAAUAGAAUUAGCAAUGUAUACCAAACAAAAUAGCAACACACCAGGAAACAGAAUAUGAAAUGUAUGUGCGAAUAUGAGAGUCAGAAACUAAGUAGGUGGUGAAGAUGUGAAAUUAUGGCUCAAUUUGGUUGAGGAAGGGCAAAGUUUCGGUCAACAUGGAGGAAAUCCGUUCGACUGCCCUUAGGGUUUGGAUUUCUAAAGAUGAAGAGAAAUGAUUUUAUUAGAGUGAUUUGGCAAGAAAAUGAAGAAAAAUGAAGGAUUGAAGAAGGAGAAAGCUUCGAUUGUGCAACAAUGGCAGAAACGAUAAGAGGGCAAAUGAAGAAGGAGAAGAAACCCUUGGAACAAUUUUAUAUUUCAAGAAAACGGCGAGCCUUUUUCUGUAAACGGUGAGGGAGUAACUUCCAGUGAACAUUUAAUGGAAAAACGGUGAAAGGUUAGUCCUUAACGGUAAAUGGGUAAAUUCCAGUGAGCUUUAAGUUUUUAAACGGUUUACCGUUUGCCGAAAAUGGUAAGGGAGUAAGGUUUAAAUCAUCAUAGCCUAGUUUCUGGAAUUAAACGGUACACCGUUUAUUGAGAAACGGUUAUCCGUUUACUUCAUCUAUAAUUCCGCACAUUUAAUUUAAUUUUUGGCCAACAAAUAAUACAUUCCAAAAUCAUUUAAUUGAUCCAAAAAUGUUUUAUAAGCCAUUUUAAUGCAUGAGACAAAAAUGUAUACAAGACCAAACAUAUGAAAUCGUAUCAAACAAUAAUGUCAAUUUUAUAAAUGAAUGAUGAUAUAACACAAUUAAUGGCAUAUGAAUUCACACAUACAUAAGAGAUGGACAAUGAUGGUAGACAAUUAAGAAGAUGAAAUCAAAGACCAUACAAUCAUCAAAAUCAAACAAAGCUAUCAUGAUGAGUUGACAAGCUAUCAUCUUAUAUAUAUAUAUAACCAUGCAUCAUGAUAAAGCACUCAAUGUUAUACACAAUGAUAAUUCCAUCAUGUAAACAUACAAGCAUACUUUCGCAAAUUCAAGCUAUUAUCCAUCCAUCAUGAUCUAUUCAACAAAAUCAAUAUGACAAGAAUUAUUACCAAAAUAAUUAAAUCAUCUUGCCUCAUCUUUUUCUCCUAGAUCAUACUCAAAUGAUUAUCCUCACAAGCUUCAUCAAGGAACUCUCCACCAUUCCUUGAUUGUGGUACCUACAAAGAAAACAUUCACGUUGUGCCCUUUGGUACCCAAAUACUCUUGGGUCCUUGAGUGUUAGCAAUUGUUCCUUUUGGAACCCAAACACAUUUUACUCCAUAAUAUACUUUUCUUUUAAUAGGACAACCAAGCUUCAUGUGACCAUUUUGAUUACAAUAAUGACAUACAACUUGAUUGUUAGUAGAUGUACUCUUCACAAAGUAGUUCUUAUAAUACUUUUGUUUCAAAUGUGGCUUAUAACCAAGUCCUCAUUUAUCAAACACACAUUUUUGUGAAUUAAUCAAGUUAUCCAACAUCUUUUGUCCAUUUGUAAAUCUUAAAACAAUCUCAUUUAACUCAUUGCUCUUCUUCUUAAGCAUUUCAUUUUCCUUUUUCAAGUCAUCUAUGUGAUAUUCUAGAUGCUCAUGUGAAGUGCUAGAUUUCUCAUUUGAUAAUGCAACUCUAUCAUGCAAUGUUUUAUUCUCUAAUUCUAGGCAUGUAAUCUUUGCACAUAGAGAUUCAUUUUCAUUUUUGAGCUCUACCAUUUUCUUUUUAAGACAUGCAUUUUUUUUACUAAUUUUCAUCCACUCAUCAUACAAUUCUUUAAACGCAUCAUGUAAUUCAUCGUAAGUAAGAAGAUCAUUUACCUCAUCAAGUUCAUCAUCCGAUUCAUCUCCAAUUGCCAUGAGAGCUAGAUUUGUCAUUUCUUGAUGCUCUUCACCAUCACUUGUUUCCUCAUCGCUAUCAUCCCAUGUGGCUACCAUUGCUUUCUUCUUGAGUUUGUUGAGAAGAGGACAUUCCGGUCGUAUGUGUCCGGGCUUCUUGCAUUCAUAACAAGUGAUUACUUCCUUCUUCUCCUUUUGGUUAUUGAGGUCUCUAGAUUUUCUUCGCUCACCGGAUUUCUUAAAAAGUUUUCUGAACCUCCUAGCCAGCAUAUCCAUCUCCUCCUCAUCCAGCUCGCUUUCCUCAUCACUUUCAUGUUUCAAGGCUUUGAGAGCAAUGCUUUUCUUCUUCUCCUCAUUGCCUCUUUCGGCUGCCAAGUCUUCCUCAUAAGAAAUAAGAGAACCAAUUAAAUCAUCAAUAGGUAAUACAUUUAAAUCUUUGGCUUCCUCAAUGGCAGUCCUUUUUGGUCUCCAUUCCUUAGGUAGUGACCUAAUGAUUUUCUUAACUUUCUCACAAUUUGAAAAGGUCUUUCUUAGGGCUCCUAGAGUGUUCACUAUGUCCGUAAAUCUAGUGUACAUAGAAUACACACUCUCAUUUUGUUCCAUUUGAAACAAUUCAUAUUGUCGAGUGUACCUACUAAUUUUAGACUCUUUCACUUGAUUUGUGCCUUCAUAAACAACUUCAAGUUUGUGCCAAAUUUCAUUAGCACUUUCACAACUAGAUACUCUAUGAAACUCUUUCUUAUCUAGUGCCCAAAACAAGGCAUUCAUAGCUUUGGAGUUUAGAGAAGCUUUUCUCUUUUCCAAUUCAUUCCAUUCCCUUGAAGGUUUUGGAAUAUCUUUCCUGACUUCGUUUUUAGUCAAAGGCAUAAAUGGACCAUCACAAACAAUUUUCCAAAUAUCAUAAUCUAAAGCUUGUAAAUAAAUUCUCAUCCUAGUUUUUCAAUAUGGGUAGUCAUUACCGUCAAAGAACGGUGGUCUAAUUGUGGAUUGUCCUUCUCUAAAAAUUGAGUCAUUAUGGGUUGCCAUGGAUCUUUAACUCUAGACGGUUAAGUCUACACAAGAGCACCUCGCUCUGAUACCAAAUGAAAUACUAACUAGGCAACCCAAGAGGGGGGUGAAUUGGGAUUUUAAAAAAUUAUCCUAGGCAAACCACACAACAAUUUAAUCUAAUGCCUUAAUAAAUUCGAAAACAAUAAAUUCAAUAAAAGCACAAUAAUAAAUGAGUAAGGGAAGAGAAAGCAAACUCAAGGAUUUUUACGUGGUUCGGCAAUCCCCGCCUACGUCCACGCCUCCAAGCACACCGGGCUUGAGGAUUUCACUAAGCUAGCCUCCCAAGGCUUCAAACGCUUACAAUUGACUUCCAAGGUGUCAAUGGACAUUUACAACAAGAGAUUAUCCCCAAUCUCUUAACCCAAGUGUAUCCCAACACUUACAAUCUUUUAACUUGAUUUUACAAAAAAAGAUUACAAAUGAAUCUCUCUCACACAAUGUGUUUGAUCACAAGUGAAAGCUCAAUGUGUGAAUGAAUGAGAUGAAUACAAAGAUUUAAAGCUCAAUGAAAGUUGUAUUCUCAAUAUUUUGCUCAAUGAUGAUCGUUGGAAUUCUCUUUGUUUGAAUUGGAUUGAGCUUAUUUAUAGUUGGAGCUGAAAAACUAGUCGUUAUAGACUGUCUGCUCGAAAACGGUUCGCCGUUAACCAUUAACGGUUAACCGUUUAGGCCGAUCAAAGUUACCGUUGGGCCAAUUUUCAAAUAAACGGUUAGCCGUUAAGGCUUACCCUUUCGCCGUUAAUUUCCAGAGACCUGCAAAACAAAUUUGGUUUAACCGUUCUUACUAAACGGUUCAAGGUUAGCAAUCUGGAAAUAAUCGGUUAACCGUUUUCAGUAAACGGUUCACCGUUAGUUUCCAGAAUCAUCAUUUUAACAAUACUUUGCAGAACAUGCUUUCUAGAAAUUAUCGGUUAGCCGUUUUUAAAUAAACGGUUAGCCGUUUGCUACAGUGAUUGCUACAGUGAAAUUAUUUUCCAAAUUUACAGUUUGACCCCAAAACUUUAUAAAACUGUAUUACGGCCCAAAACGUUAUGAAACAUUGCACAUAGGUCCAAUUUUAGAAUUUCUAAGUAAUGCUUUGUUAAUCCCAAAACUUUCUGAAAUUAUGGUAUAGCCCAAAAUGCUAUGACACUUUUCAAAUAAGUCAUUCUCUAAAAUUUCAAGCAAUACUUGUUUAUUUCAAAGUUUUCAAAAUUCUUUCAAUUAAACCAUAAACUUUGAAAAACAACCAAUUUCAUAAAAUCAUUUUUCCAUUAAAUAUAAAACCUUUAUAAUGUAAAAAUAAUGAUUUAUUUAAAAAGAAUAUUAAAUAAUUUGGGCUUAAAAGAUUAAUCAUUCUUAAUCUUGUUUGUUAUCAUCAAAAUCAAUAUUAUGAAAACAUAUAUGUUAACAAAAAGGUCGUUUCUCGGAAUGGAAUUCUAAUUCCCAAGCCUCCCCUUGGGAAUCAAAACUAUGAUAAUAAUUCUCAAAUUUGUGGGCCCAAUACUAUUUCAAUUUCAAUUAUAAGCCGAAAUUUUGUAAAUAAAUGCAUCAUUACUUCCCAUUUUAGAAUCUCCAUUCUCAUUGUUAGUAAGUAAAUAUACCAUUAUAGUAUUGUCCUUUCAAACACUUUAAGAACAAUUUUUUUUUAUCAGCAUUUUCACAACUUGUGUGAAAUAUUUUGCUCCAUAUGUUCCUUUCCAGUUUCCAAGUAAUUAAAAAAGCAUCAAGUAAUUUUCAUUUUUUUUCAAGAUCUAAAUGCAUCUAUUUCUCGAAUACAAAUUAACCAAGAAGCUUCAUAUAUUUAUAUUACAACGGUGCAAAUAUGGCUAGAAAUUUUUUUUCUAUUAGUGUUUAAUAAAUUCAAGAAUUACUAGAAGAAGCAGACUACUGAGACAUCUCAGUAUGGGUGGACAAAGAUAUUAGAUUAUAGAGAGAAAAGAAAAAAAAAGUGCACUAAAUUCCAUUAGAUCGUAAAAGGAAACAUAGGUGACAUAGGUGAUUCCAACCAACCGAGUUAGUAUUUUGCAGUCCACACAGUUAAAGUGCAAUUCGGUUUCUAUUUCUGAUUGGAGGUUUUCCUUUUCAUCUUUAAAAGAAAAGUAAAAGAAAAAAAAAAAAAGAAAUAUGCAUGCAUUUGAUGGUGUCAAAAGCGGCGCUGAAAGGUGACAUUACUUUCAAGAAUAUCCUAAUGAAAAGGGCGGGGAAAUGAAACGGACAUUUCCCCUCCCCUCUUAAUCAUAUGUUCUCAACUGAAUUGGGAGAUCGAAGACAAAAGUAAGAGAAUUAAGAGUUUUUAAUAAAUACUGAGUUACGUACUUUCUAGUAGCUAUAACCUGCAGCGUUCCAAGUCUUUCUUCACGAGAGCUCUCUCUCUUUGAUAGAGCCUCAUGAAUGGAAGUACUUUGAGGGGCCUGUAUGACCCACAUGGUCACUCCGAGAGUGAGUGUUGUUUUCUAGUUUGAAGUUAGAUUAGUUACGUUACGUAAGUUUUUCAGUUGAAGUGCAGUAAAGGCUAGAGCAGAGUUGGUGAGGGUUUUAUUUUACAGGGUCUUCUUGUUAGGUGACUAUUAUUAUCAAAUCUAUCCCUUGCAAUAACUCCAUGGACACUGAAGAGUUAAUCCGUAAGUGCAAAGCAAUCACGAUCAGAGAGGAAGACAAAAGCAAAAUGUCGUUGGGAGUAAACAUGAAAGAACAAAGAGGGCAAGUGUUAGCAGGCUGCCUGAUGGGUAAAGUACUCCUCUCAAGGGGAGUCAACAGAGAGGGGCUCAAAGUUGCUUUACAGUAGGUUUGGCGAACUUUUAAAGAGGUUAAGAUUGAGAGUCUGGGAAAUAAUAUAUUUAUGUUCAAAUUCGCGGAAGAAGCUGAUAAAAGAAGAGUGCUAUCUGGAGGCCCGUGGCAUUUUGAUAGGGCGUUGAUUGUCCUCACCGAGCCAAAAGGUAUUGGGGAGGUUUCAAAGCAAGCUUUUACCCACGUCCCCUUCUGGGUGCAGAUACGCAAUAUUCCAAUGGCGUGUAUGGAGAGGGACUUUCUGCAAGAACUCGGGGGAAUGAUAGGAAAAGUAGAAGAAAUUGAAACAGAUGAGAAUGGGGAUUGCUUUGGGGAAUUUGCAAGAAUCAGGAUUUUCAUCAACAUAACACAGCCAUUGAAGAAAAUCUUAUUCCUAAAACAAGAGGGCGAGACUGAUAUUCCAAUGCCAGUGGUGUACGAACGCUUGCCAGAUUUUUGCUUCUCCUGUGGCAUUAUCGGUCAUCAAUUCAAAGAGUGUGCUCAGUACCAAGGCCAACCAAAAGAAGAUCUCUCAUUUGGGAUGUGGAUGAAAGCACUCAUGAUCGGGGGACGCUCAAGGAAAUACCGAGGCAAAGAAAGAUGGCAGAAUGGAGGUGAAAGAACUGAAAAAUCGACAAGUUCAGAAUUCCAUGAUAAGUCCCAACAACUCCAGCAAGAGCAAGUGAAACCAGCUGACAAAAACGGGUUAGGAUCCGGGGAGGAGGAAAUGGGUCAAACUAAGGAGAUUGAUAGGACUAGUGAGGUGGAGUGGGUGGGUGAACAACAUUUAAUGAAGAGUAUGACAGAAAUGAUGGCUACGAAGCAGGCUGACGGUGAAAUGCAUGGAGGAAGUGCUGGCAAUGUAACAGUCCCUAGAGAUUUGAGAAUCAACACGGGAAAUGUAAACUCAACUGAGGGGGAAAAAAUAGAAGUAGUUAGGGCCGAAAAACACAAGGAGACUUUGGGCUCAAAUGCAGCCCAAGAGGAAGCAGAGGAAACAAAAAUAGAUACCGAGGCCGGUAGCUCCCAAACUUAGAUAAACAAAAAGAAAUGGAAGAGGCAGGCACGUGCCAUAAAAAAUGAAGAGUGGGCAAGCUCGGGCCUAAGAACUCAUAAAAGGCCAAAUAGCGAGGCAGCAUGGCCAAACUCGAAGCUAAAGAAAACUAAAGUGGAUGACCCAAGCCAUUCGGAAAUGAUGAAUCUUUCUUUGAUAGCAAAACAAACCAAGAUGCACUGGGAGUUGUUAGCAACAGAGGAAAUGGAGCUUUCAACUUCAAGCUUAGAGGAGAUAUCGGCGGGGGCUGGUAGCCAGCCCCGCCGGAAGCCAUAAAAAUACUCAGUUGGAACAUUCGGGGUUUGGGGAAUCCCCGAAUGUAUCUAGCUCUUAAGAAAAUUCUCCAAGUGCACGGUCCUCACCUUGUGUUUUUAUGUGAAACGAAGCUGAAUACUAUGCAUAUGAAUGAGGUCAGUAGAAAAUUGAAUUAUGAGAAUUGCUUUGCUGUGAGUAGUAUCGGAAAAGGAGGUGGUCUAGCUUUACUUUGGAAGUCUGAAACCAACGUGCAAAUUAAAUCUUUCAAUCAGCAUCACAUUGAUGCUGAGAUAGUGAUGGAAAAUGGGAAGCUUAUUCGGUGUACGGGGGUUUAUGGUCACCCAGACAUGAGACAGAAAGCAUACAUGGACAUUAUUGAGGCAGUUAGCGGGUUUCUCUUCCACCCCUUGGUCAUGCUUCGGUGACUUUAAUGAGAUCCUUCAUCCGUUUGAAAAGAGUGGGGGAAAUGAGAGGCAGUUAAGCUUAAUUACUGAUUUUAGAGAAGCUCUCCGAGACUGUGAUCUUUUAGACAUUGGUUACAAAGGGUACCCUUUUACGUGGAGUAAUGGAAGGUUCGGCCCUGCUUUUGUGGAGGAACGACUAGAUAGAUUUGUUUGUAAUAGCGCAUGGAGAGACAUUUUUUCGGAUGUUGCAGCUACUAAUAUUGACACUUGGACCUUUGAUCAUUGCCCGGUGGUGAUGGAAGUUCAAACAAGGGGCUGUGGGAUGAAUUUUAACCAAAGGCGAGCCACUCGGAUCCAUUACGAAGAUAUGUGGAGCCCUUACGAUGCUUGUAAGGAAAUCGUUGAGGAAGAGUGGAGCAUGCAAGGAAGAUGGAAUAUUGAAAAUCCUGUUUCGGUGUUUCAAAAAGUGGCCAAAAAAUCUAUGGCCAGGUUGAUUCUGUGGAGCAAAGAAGAAUUCCUAGGGAGACAAAAAAAGUUGGAGAAACUAACGAAACAGCUUCGAAGCCUCAAGUUUAAUCGGGUUCAGUAUGUCGAUGGGAAUAAGAUUAAAGAGGUGGAAAGACAAAUCCAAAUCUUGUUAGCCGACGAGGAAAUUUUCUGGAAACAACGCUCAAGGGCAGAUUGGCUCAAGGGAGGGGACAAGAACACAAAAUUUUUCCAUCACAAGGCAUCCUCAAGGAAGAAGAAGAAUCAAAUUUGGGGGAUCGAAAAUGCAGCUGGAAGUUGGAUUGAAAAUGCCGAAGAAGUGGAGCAUGAGUUCAGCAAAUACUUCAUAAAUUUGUUUACUACAUCCAAGCCUAAUCAAGCUCAAAUAGCAGCUGCGCUGUCAGGAAUAUCUCGAAGAGUUUCUAGUGAGAUGAAUGAUUUCCUGGAAAUGCCAUUCACGCCCGAAGAAGUUGUGGAAGCAUUGACACAAAUGUGCCCAACAAAGGCACCGGGUCCGGAUGGCUUGCCAGCAGUGUUCUACCAAAAGCACUGGCAAACGGUCAAACAAGGAGUCCUCUCAACAUGCCUCCACAUCCUAAACAAGCAAGGUGAUGUAGCCCCACUCAAUCACACUUAUAUCACUUUAAUUCCAAAAAAAGGAAAGCCUAGAAAAGUUACCGAUUUUAGGCCUAUUAGUCUAUGCAAUGUUAUUUAUAGGAUUGUUGCUAAGGCAAUAGCUAAUAGGCUUAAACAUGUACUGCCCAAAAUUAUCUCGCCAAUGCAAAGUGCUUUUAUUCCUAAUCGGCUAAUCACCGAUAAUAUUAUUGUAGGAUAUGAGUGCCUCCAUAAGAUAAGACAUUGUAAAGGAAGAAAAAAUGACUUGUUUCCUCAUCGCUAUCAUCCCAUGUGGCUACCAUUGCUCUCUUCUUGAGCUUAUUGAGAAGAGGGCAUUCCGUUCUUAUAUGACCAGGCUUCUUGCACUCAUAACAUUUGAUUACUUCCUUCUUCUCCUUUCGGUUCUUGAGGUCUCUAGAUUUUCUUCGCUCACCGGAUUUCUUAAAAAGUUUUCUAAGCCUCCUAGCCAGCAUAUCCAUCUCCUCCUCAUCCAGCUCGCUUUCCUCAUCACUCUCAUAUUUCGAGGCUUUGAGAGCAAUGCUUUUCUUCUUCUCCUCAUUGCUUCUUUCGGCUGCCAUGUCUUCCUCAUAAGAAAUAAGAGAACCAAUUAAAUCAUCAAUAGGUAAGAUAUUCAAAUCUUUAGCUUCCUCAAUGGCAGUCCUUUUUGGUCUCCAUUCCUUAGGUAACGACCUAAUGAUUUUCUUAACUUUCUCGCUAUUUGAAAAGGUCUUUCCUAGGGAUCCUAGAGUAUUCGCUAUGUCCGUAAAUCUAGUAUACAUAGAAUAUACACUCUCAUUUUGUUCCAUUUGGAACAAUUCAUAUUGCCGAGUGUACCUACUAAUUUUAGACUCUUUCACUUGAUUCGUGCCUUCAUAAACAACUUCAAGUUUGUGCCAAAUUUCAUUAGCACUUUCACAACUAGACACUCUAUGAAACUCUUUCUUAUCUAGUGCACAAAACAAGGCAUUCAUGGCUUUGGAAUUUAGAGAAGCUUUUCUCUUUUCCAAUUCAUUCCAUUCCCGUGAAGGUUUUGCAAUAUCUUCCCCAACUCCGUUUUUAGUCAAAGGCAUAAAUGGACCAUCACAAACAAUUUCCCAAAUUUCAUAAUCUAAAGCUUGUAAAUAAAUUUUCAUCCUAGUUUUUCAAUAUGGGUAGUCAUUACCAUCAAAGAACGGUGGUCUAAUUCUGGAUUGUCCUUCUCUAAAGGUUGAGUCAUUAUAGGUUGCCAUGGAUCUUUAACUCUAGACGGUUAAGUCUACACAAGAGCACCUUGCUCUGAUACCAAAUGAAAUACUAACUAGGCAACCCAAGAGGGGGGUGAAUUGGGAUAUUAAAAAUAUUCAAUUCUAAAUCAAAACUCAAUGCAAAUCCAAAACUAAUUUAAAGUAAUAACAAAUAAAUCAAUCACAAUAUAAAAGAGUAAGGGAAGAGAAAACAAACACAAUGAUUUUUACGUGGUUCGGCAAUCCCCGCCUACGUCCACGCCUCCAAGCUCACCGGGCUUGAGGAUUUCACUAAGCUAGCCUCCCAAGGCUUCAAACGCUUACAAUUGACUUCCAAGGUGUCAAUGGACCUUUACAACAAGAGAUUAUCCCCAAUCUCUUAACCCAAGUGUAUCUCAACACUUACAACCUCUCAAGGAUAAAUAUUACAAAUGAAUUUUCUCUCACACAAUGUGUUUGAUUACAAAUGAAUGCUCAAUGUGUGAAUAGAUGAAGAGAGAAUGUGUUUAAAGCUCUAUGAAGAUUGUAUUCUCGGAUAUAAGCUCAGUGGUAGUGUUGUGAUCAAUCUUUGUUUGGAAUUGAAUGAGCUUAUUUAUAGUUGCAGCUGAAAACUAGCCGUUAUAGACUGUCUGCACACUGUCGGAUCGCCGUUAUCUAGAUGUCGGAUCACCGUUUGACUGGUCAAUAUGACCGUUGGGGCUGAUUUUCAAAUUGUCGGAUCGCCGUUAUCUAGAUGUCGGAUCGCCAUUUAUGUCCAGAGGCUAAUCUUCAGUUCUGUUAGAUAUCGGCGAGCCGUUUAUCAAAAUUGUCGGAUCGCCGUUAGUGUCCAGAGACUAAUCUUCAAUUCUGUUUGAAGUCGGCGAGCCGUUAACAAAAUGUCGGAUCGCCGUUUUCUACAGUGACUGCUACAGUGAACUAUUUUCUAAAAUUUAUAGUUUAACCCCAAAACUUUAUAAAACUGUGUUACGGCCCAAAACGUUAUAAAACUUUGCAAAUAGGUCCAAUUUCAGAAUUUCUAAAUAAUGCUUUGUUAAUCUCAAAACUUUCUGAAAUUAUGGUAUAGCCAAAAAUGCUAUGACACUUUUCAAAUAAGUCCUUUACCAAAAUUUCAAGCAAUACUUGUUUAUUUCAAAGUUUUCAAAAUUCUUUCAAUUAAACCAUAAACUUUGAAAAACAACCAAUUUCAUAAAAUUAUUUUUCCAUUAAAUAUAAAAUAUUUAUAAUGUGAAAAUAAUGAUUUAUUUAAAAAGAAUAAAAACAAUCAAUUUCAUAAAAUCAUUUUUCAUUAAAUAUAAAACCUUUAAAAUGUGAAAAUAAUGAUUUAUUUAAGAUGCAUAAAAAAUAAUUUGAUCUUAAAAGAUUAAUCAUUCUUAAUCUUGUUUGUUAUCAUCAAAAUCAAUAUUAUGGAAACAUAUAUGUUAACAGAUGUGAGCAAAGCUUAUGAUAGGCUGGAAUGAGAGUUUCUUGAACAAACGAUGAAGUCCCUCGGGUUCUCGCAGAAUUGGAUCAGCCUAAUCAUGAGGUGUAUAAGCUCAGUCACAUCCUCAGUGAUUAUAAAUGGUGCUGUAAGCAGGGUGAUUCGGCCUAAGCGAGGCCUCAGACAAGGGUGUCCCUUAUCUCCGUAUUUAUUCAUCAUUGGGGCUGAAGCUUUCUCCUCUCUUCUCCAGCAAGCAAAGCACCAGAGGCUUAUUCAUGGGCUGUCAUUUGGGAAGGAGCUUAAAAUCUUUCAUCUCUUAUUUGCGGACGACAGCCUAGUAUUCACGAGAGCCUCAGUUACCGAUUGCCAAAAUCUGAAGAGAAUUUUCGACUGCUAUUCUACAACCUCAAGCCAGCUGUUCAAUCUCGACAAAUCUUCAAUGUUUCUCAGCGGCAAUAUUCAGGCUGGGCAAGCGGCAACAAUCAAAAACAUCUUCCAGCUCAACAUUGUUUCAAGACACGAAAAAUACUUAGGCUUGCCAUCUAUGAUUGGGAGAAAGAGAACUAGUUUUUUUACUGAUAUCAAGCUGAAGAUCCAUAAUAAAGUCUCCAAUUGGCAGCACAAAUUUUUCUCAGCAGGUGGCAAAGAGGUUUUGAUCAAGGCGGCUGCUCAAGCUAUUCCCGCAUAUGCAAUGAACGUCUUCAAGAUUCCCAUGGGCAUAUGUGAUGACAUUCAGCGAAUAAUAGCAAAAUUCUGGUGGGGAUCAGGGACCGAUAAGAAGGCCAUCCACUGGUCGAGAUGGAGCAAGCUAAGUAUGGCUAAGUGCAGAGGAGGAAUGGGGUUCAGAGAGUUUUCAAGUUUCAACCAAGCACUAGUAGCCAAACAAGGCUGGAGGAUCCUGCAAUUUCCAGACUCCCUCGUGGCAAGAACUCUGCAGGCGAGAUAUUUCCAGCACAAAGACUUCAUGAAGGCAAGACUUAGCUCGAAUCUCUCUUUUAUUUGGAGAAGCAUUUUAUGGGGCCAGCAAGUCAUAUCCAAGGGUUAUAGAUGGAGGAUUGGAAAUGGCCAAAGCAUCCUACUGCAUAAAGAGAAUUGGCUGCCCAGGCCCUUGACUUUCAAACCGAUUUCCAAGCCAAGCUUACUAGAUGAUGCUUUAGUGGCUGAGUUAAUAAAUGCAGAGCAUGGGUGGAAUGAAGGGCUGAUUCACAGGCACUUUGCCAAAAUAGAUGCGGAAGCAAUUGUUAAAAUUCCAUUGCCAAGGAGACCAAUGAAGGAUGAAGUAAUAUGGCACUACGAUAGAAAAGGCCAGUACUCGGUUAAGAGUGGCUAUCAGAUUGCUUUAAAUCUGAAAUUUCCAGCCAGGCCUACAAGUUCAGCAGCUGAGCAGAACCAAUGGAAUACAAUAUGGCAGCUCACCUUACCAGAGAAAAUCAGGAUUUUUGCUUGGAGGGCUGUAAAAAAUCUUCUUCCUUCGGCCGAAAAUCUAUGGAAAAGGAAGGUGAUUUAGGAGCCUGUGUGUCAAAUUUGUAACAACAAGCUGGAAACAGUUUUUCAUGCUUUAGUGGGCUGUAAGGUGGUGCAGAAAAUCUGGAAAAUUACCAGAUUUGAGGAUGAUUUGAAGGAUUGUGUUGAUCAAGACAUUUUAAGCUUGUUGAUUGGCCUAAAGCUGAGAAGGAGUAAUGAUGAUAUUGAGCUGCUGGUUUCGAUCUUAUGGAUGAUAUGGAAUGCUCGAAACAAUUAGAUUUUUAAAAGAGUAAAAGAAAGCCCCCAAGUGACAGUCUCUAAGGCUGAAGCUGUGCUGGAAGCUUACCGAAGAACCCAGCUUCCAGCAGCUACUCAUAUAGGCAACCAAAGAUCUCCGAUGCUAAAGGCCUGGAAUCCUCCCCAAAAAGGAUUCUUUAAGGUUAAUGUAGAUGCUGCCACCAAUUCGGAGAAGCAAAUUGCAGGUCUAGGGUUUGUAAUUCGAGACGAAGAUGGGAAUGUGAUUGCAGCUGCAGUCAAAGUUUCCAAGUUCUAUGGUGAUGUGUGUUUCCCAGAGGCAGAAGCAAUCGAAUGGGGGCUUCAAGUUGCAAGGAAUGCUUGUAUAGAGUCUUUGAUUGUGGAAUCAGAUGCUCAAGAGAUUGUUAAGUUAGUUAACAACAAUCAGGGCUGCAGAUCCGAGAUCUUUUGGACCAUUUCAGGCGUGCAGAGAAUUUUGAAGAGCUUUAGCUCAGUUUGUGUCCAAUAUGCUCAUAGAUCUUGUAAUGCGAUAGCCCACUCUUUAGCUAAGCUAGCUCUAGAGAUGCUCGAAACUAUUGUUUGGAUGGGUUCAUACCCUCCCCACUUGUUGUACUUAUUUUCUUCUUUGAGUUGAAAUGAAGGUACUUUCCAUUCAAAAAAAAAUAAAUACUGAGUUAUUAGUGAUGGAGAAAUUGGGAUUUGCAUGUACUAUAGUGAGGUAAAAUAUUUUAUAUAAAAUUUUAUAUUUUUUGUUUUCGUUUGUGAUUGUAUGUUAAAAUUCUUAUAACUUAAAUUUUUUUUAAUCUCUCGUCUGAUAUUUAUGUCUAAUUUUUUUAUUUUUUUAAAUAUUUUUAAUUGUAUAUUUACUUCACUCAUUAAUUUUUUUUACAUUUAAAGGAUCAUAAUUUUUUCUUAUUAUGAUUAUGCACUGAGUAAAUAAUUUAACGGUUAAUUAGUAGUUAAUAAUCUAAAAAUUAAAAAUUAAAUUUUACCUACAUACUACCAGUAAAAAAGUAUAUGAGAACCAAUUUUUAAGAAUUCAAUAAAAUUUAGGUGAGAAUCUUGUUCCAUAUUUGUAAGGGCAAUAUUUGUAAAACUAAGGCGUGCAUGUAACUAUUUAAAAAAAUUAUGUAAUUUAAGUAAAAUGGCACAUCAAAUACAGCUGACAAAAUAUUUUCUUUUUACUGACAUAAAACACGUCUCAUAAUAACAUUGCGAGAGUGAGUCAGAACACUGAGCAUGGCACUCCAUUUCAUGAGUUAUAGCUUUCAAGAAAUUGGAUUUAUUUUUUUUGAGGACAAAUGUAUAGUAUAAAAAUUAUUAUUUUUUUAUUAGGCUGUGGAUAUGUUGAAGUAAAUCUACAGUGGAUUACAAAUUUUAACUACACACGCAAAGUGAUAAAUAAUAAAAAAUUUAUUAUAAUUUUAAUCGUGUGAUUAUAAAAUGGUGUUCUUAGAGUAACUUCAACAUAGUCAAACUCUUUUUAAAAUUAGUAAAAAAUUAGGACCCACGGCAUUUAAAUUUUUCAUGGGAUAAGAUUUGAUUUUUGAUUUUUCUUUUUUUAAAUAUCAAAACAAACGUUUUUUUACGAGUUAAAAAUCUAGAACUAAGAUAUAUGGAUGUUAAUCCUUAACGUCAAUUUACGAAUGUUUUCGGUGAUUAAGGUAUUGCAAUUUUUUUUCCUUUAUUCAAAACUCAAAACAAAGACUUCACCAAAUUUAAAUAUAAAAAAAAAUCAACAGAUCAAUUUUAUUUUAUUUUUAACUUUUAUUGGAAAUGUUGAUUCUCUCAUUUCAUAUUCUCAAAUUAUUCUUUCUAUAUGGUUAAAAAAAGAGAGGUCACUCAACUUUUGACCGGGUGGUGGAUCGAUAUGAGAACAACAGCAGUUCGAGCCUUUCAUAAAUUUAAUGUAAAGUUGUAGUUUUAAUUAUUUGUCUGGACAAGUAUUUUAUAAAAUUUAAUCAAUUUAUUUGAUUGUAUGAUGUAACUAUUUGAUAAAAUAUCAGUUCUCAAAAAAAAAAAGGAAGUCAAAGAAAAUCAAAACAAAUUUAAUAUAAUUGUGAUAAUUGUUUGAGAAAGAUGAAAAUGAAAAAAAGAAAAAGAAAAAGAAAAAAGGGGAAUUAGUUAAGAAAAUUAAAUUAAGGAGAGAUCCGAACCAGUACAGACACAAUGACUGAUUAUAUAGAAAAAUUGAGAUUAAGAGAGAUCCGAAUCAGAACUGAGACAAUGACUGAUUAUAUAGCGUAAAAUAACAGUGACUAGGAAUUAACAAAAACUUUUAAUCACACAAAAAAAGGAAAAAAGAAAAAGAAAAUGGUAACAGUAGUAGCGAAUGCGUCAGUCGCUUCAGCUGGCACUGGUCUGAGAAUAACAUAAAAUUACUAGAAUAGAAUAAACAACACAGAAACUUAUCUCCCGUGGGAGAUUAGACGAUGAUUAUUCAUUGCCACUCUUUUGGUUACACUUUGUCACUAGAUGUGAAAAAGCUUAAUUACGAAGGCAUAAAAACUUCUUGACUCCGCUCCUCAUCGGAGAGGGAGGGUUCCCUUGCACCGGAUUUGAUCCGCUAGGUUGACUUGGCCCAUUAGCGCUAGCAGGACCCGCUUGAAUAUUGUUUCGCUGAUUUUGUGAUUGGGAGUACUCUGGGGGGUAUGUAAACUUUUCCUCCAUCCUCUCUGACUUUCGUUUAAAGGACACUUCUAUAAACUCCAUGGAACAAGCUUCCAUAUAUUUUAUGGAUUUUGCCCUCGCUUGUUCUUGCAGUUCUUCAUCAGACUGGUUUGGCUUAUAAACAACUGCAUCAGGACUUGUUAUCCUGUCUGGACUGGCCAGUGUGGGUGCGUUUGCGCUUGCGCUUUGAUUCUGAUUGUUGUGGCUGGCGUAAUUGGCAUUGGCUUUGUUGGUUUUGGUCUGGAGAUUCAUCCUUUGAUUUUGGUGUAUGAGUGGCUUGGAUACGUGUGGUUUCUGGUUGGGUUUCAUCAGGCUUCUGCUUAGGAGAAGGGUCUUUCUCAGGACUACUACCGCUCGUGAUUUGUUCUCAGCAAAAUAUUUGCUCAGAGUAAAUGACUAGUUAGCUAUAUAGACAUGAUAGAGAAGCAUUCAUAUUCAUGAUGGAUGAAGGAGGGGUGAAACUUCUUCUCUGUUUCUUCUCUAUUUCCGUGAAACUCCCUCUACUUCUUCUCUAUUUCCAUGAAAUAGAUUUUAUUUAUAAA